CAGCCGCCGCGGUAAUACCGGCGGCCCGAGUGGCGGUCACUAUUAUUGGGCUUAAAGCGUCCGUAGCCGGGUUGGGAAGUCCUCCGGGAAAUCUGGCCGCUUAACGGUCAGAAUGCCGGAGGAUACUCCCAGCCUAGGGAGCGGGAGAGGCCGAGGGGAUUCCCGGAGUAGGGGGGAAAUCCUAUAAUCCCGGGAGGACCGCCUGUGGCGAAGGCGCUCGGCUGGAACGCGUCCGACGGUGAGGGACGAAGGCCAGGGGAGCAAACCGGAUUAGAUACCCGGGUAGUCCUGGCUGUAAACGAUGCGGACUUUGUGUCGGACAAGCUAUGAGCUUGUCCGGUGCCGGAGGGAAACCGUUAAGUCCGCCGCCUGGGGAGUACGGCCGCAAGGCUGAAACUUAAAGGAAUUGGCGGG
rnacentral:rRNA from 1 species